rnacentral:tRNA from 1 species
GGUAAAAUGGCUGAGAUUUAAGCGAUAAAUUGUAAAUUUAUUAACGAAAGUUAUUUUCUUUUACU